AACGAACGCUGGCGGCAUGCCUAACACAUGCAAGUCGAACGAGACCUUCGGGUCUAGUGGCGCACGGGUGCGUAACGCGUGGGAACCUGCCCUUAGGUUCGGAAUAACUCCCCGAAAGGGGUGCUAAUACCGGAUAAUGUCUUCGGACCAAAGAUUUAUCGCCUUUGGAUGGGGCCGCGUUGGAUUAGCUAGUUGGUAGGGUAAAAGCCUACCAAGGCGACGAUCCAUAGCUGGUCGGAGAGGAUGAUCAGCCACACUGGGACUGAGACACGGCCCAGACUCCUACGGGAGGGAGCAGUAGGGAAUAUUGGACGAGGGGCGAAAGCCUGAUCCAGCAAUGCCGCGUGAGUGAUGAAGGCCUUAGGGUUGUAAAGCUCUUUUAGCCGGGAUGAGAAUGACAGUACCGGGAGAAUAAGCUCCGGCUAACUACGUG
rnacentral:rRNA from 1 species